GCGCCUGAUUCGCUUACCGCUUCCGGGGGAGGAGACACAUGGGCCAGUGCCCGGGUGGGCGGUCCGGAGAUGGACAGCCGCGCACUAAGGCCCGCCUCCACCUGUAGAGAAAGUAAAGUGCUAGUCGCUCGAACCCGCCGGGCGAAGGAAGCACUUUCCAUUCUUUCCCUGUCGCCGUGUCCGGGCGCGAGUCAUUUCCGUCCCGGGCGCCUGUUUCUUUAGCUGCCAAAUGGAGCUACGCUGAGCUCUCUCCCCGCGGGCUUCGCCCCUUUCCCGGGCAUGAACUCUGGUGAUGCGCCCGGGUGCCCCGCUCUCUCCAUUGUCCAGGGCCGGGCCGCAGCACCCUCCUUGUCCGAAAGCGCCUGGUGCGGCUCCCGUCUCAGUCUCGAGUCGGGCUAGGCAACCGCGUGACUCAGUUCCCGCCAAGCUGGAGCCCCCUCUUUCCUGCUGGAUUAUUCAGUUUCUCAGUCACCUCCCUGGGAGAGUUUGGGAAACCUCGUCUAGGGUGCAGC
rnacentral:sRNA from 1 species